GACGAACGCUGGCGGCGUGCCUAAUACAUGCAAGUAGAACGCUGAAGGAGGAGCUUGCUUCUCUGGAUGAGUUGCGAACGGGUGAGUAACGCGUAGGUAACCUGCCUGGUAGCGGGGGAUAACUAUUGGAAACGAUAGCUAAUACCGCAUAACAGUAGAUGUUGCAUGACAUUUGCUUAAAAGGUGCAAUUGCAUCACUACCAGAUGGACCUGCGUUGUAUUAGCUAGUUGGUGAGGUAACGGCUCACCAAGGCAACGAUACAUAGCCGACCUGAGAGGGUGAUCGGCCACACUGGGACUGAGACACGGCCCAGACUCCUACGGGAGGCAGCAGUAGGGAAUCUUCGGCAAUGGACGGAAGUCUGACCGAGCAACGCCGCGUGAGUGAAGAAGGUUUUCGGAUCGUAAAGCUCUGUUGUAAGAGAAGAACGAGUGUGAGAGUGGAAAGUUCACACUGUGACGGACCUACCA
rnacentral:rRNA from 1 species